AGGGGACAAAACAGAGAAUGACUUCUCUCCUACGGUUUGUUCUCACAAGUAACACCAAGUCCACACAUGACAAACAAGCUCCAAGUGCAGGUGUUACAUACAACAAACACUUCUCAAUGUAGCUUUUCUAAUAAAGAAAAUCAAAUGAGGACGAAUCAGUUCUUUUUUUUUACCAAAACCAAAGUAGAAAAUUAGGCUUACUCUUACCCUUCUGUUAC